GUCCCUGAAGACCUCUGAAUCUCAGUAGCUAAUGAGGCUUACAGAAGGGAGCUCGAGAGAGGAAAACUUACUGGCAGUGAGCAGUACUGGUGAGAGCUCCAGGAUUGAGCAAGUUUUGCAGGGGACAAUUAAAAGUGAUUGCAUCAGCGUUUGGGGCUUUUGCCUAUUUCCAGCUCGACCCUCCAUGAUCUGUGUGUUGGCUGCGGGCAGCAAGGUGGUUUUUACUGGAUUACCAAAUAGAGAACAGAAAUAACUCUCCUGCUGGCCUUGCUGAACUUCUUCCACCCCGAAGAAAAGCUGCACGUGGGAGAAGGCAGACGUGUCCGCCGGAACAAGAGGAGUAAGGGCAGCGAGGGGCCGGAUGAGGCACACCCAGAGAAGCCUAACAGCUGUUGGAACAUUCAGAGUGACAUCCAGGUGGUGGUUCUCAGCUCUCUUGCAGCAGUGGCAGACAAACACCGACCCGUUGCUGCAAACAAACGGAGGUGGAAGUUGGGUUCAGGGGAUCCUCUCACUCCAGGUGUGAUGUGUAAGGCAGAGCACAGACAGCAGAAACAUCUUCAGCUCAUCCUCGGCUCACACUGCUUGGAGCUCAGUUCUUCUGAAAGUACUCUUGAUUUCUGAAACUGCUUUGAGGCCAAAUGCACUGCA
ensembl:lncRNA